GAGGGAGGGAGCCGUGUGGAGUGGAGAAAAAGACCCUGGGUGGCCUCACUGCAGGCAGGCUUUGACAGUGGAGAUUACAGACUUCAUACCAUUGGCAGACUACUGCGUCCACACAGUGAGACACCCUUGUCGUGAUGGAGAAGAGGUGGUGAGUCCAGGCUUUCUGUGGAUUCUGAACGCUGGAUGGAUCUGAGCCAGCAAUGAACACUCGGCGUGGCCUGGGCAGUCCAUAAUGAGCCUUUCUUUGGGCAUCUUUUCCUUAGUUUGAUGUCCCCCAUUGCUUUGGCUGUAUAUUUGUUAAGAUCUCCUUGAAACCAGUGAUCCCAGGGCAUUAAAAGUCAUAGAUUCUCCACCUGUGGGUUUUCAAACAAAGCUCAGAUUGAAGUAGAAUUCAAACAAUUUAAGCAAUAGAUCGUCAGUGGGCUGAGUCCAGAGAAAACAAACAAAAAACAAAUAAGGAAAAAAGCGCUUCUCUUACUGGGAUUUGUACUGGAAAUCUUAAAAAAUGCUGCACAUGAAUGCUUUUGCAUGCUUCUUACUGUAAUUUUAUUUUCUGAUUAUUGUUAUAGGCAUCCAUGGAAAUAUCCACAGUGCCCAUGAGAGAAAAAAAUAUUUAGCAAAGGUCUCUCAGUGUAAUCUGUUUCUCUUAGAAAUAAUUUGAUUCUAUAAAAAUAAUCUAAGGGGAGGAGCUCGUUAAAACAUAAUUUGAAUAUUAGAGUGAAAUAGCUUAUAAUUUCUAUUGAGGGAAAAAUUUAGUAGUUUCAAAACUGAGUUAUGAAACCAGAGCAUAUGAAACAAAUGCAGAUUUAAUCUUAGAAAUCAUUGUUCAAAUGAAUCAGAUUUGAGAAUGAUUUCAUUGGCAGGUCAGUUAGCACUUUCUCCAAAAUAUUCUUUUUGAAAAAUUAAUCCCUAAACAAUUUUUCCUGAAUUUCCCAGACCCACUCCAUAAAGUUUACCUGCUUGGUUCAUGAAAGCCGGGGCACCCCCUUAGCACAGGAAUCUUCUAGAAGAAUCUUACAGUCCGCUUUCCAUUCUCUCCGCCUGUCCAGGCUUCAGUAUAUCUUACGACAGCUGUAGUAGAUUGUCCCUUUGGCUUGCUGCAAGACAUCUAUCAACAGCAGAAAGCCUGCCAUGCCGUGUGGACGUCAGACUCUCCACUGGAAGCCACAAGGGUGACACUGUCCAUGUCCCCACUGCCUCCUGUGAUUUCCGUCUCCAGAAUAUUCUCUCUACUCCCCCUUCCACAGGACAACCUGUCAGGUAUUUCCAUCAGUCAGUGACUUCUCCACCCUGUUAUCUUGUAUCCAGGCUAAACAUUGCUGCUUCUCCCAACUGCCCCUUAAAACACAUCUUGGAACCCUUCCACUGGGUUUUCUGUCUUCAGAGUCCAAGAGUAUCUGAAACAUGGUUGUAUAUGUGUAAUAAUGGGGGUCUUCUCAACUAGCUACCUUUCCUCCCUCACCAUGCCCAACCUUUGUGGGUCAAAGAUAAAUCAGGGGAAAUAGCUUCCAGUUUCUGGUUACUGUAUUCAGAGUACCAAAAGUGAAUUGAAUGGCAGGAAGAGUGUCGUCUCUACACCCCUCCUCUUGAAUUAUUAGUGGUUAACAAGACAGCCACCAAUUUUUAAAGAUUAAAAAAAAGAGAAAGUCUAAAGUAUGGACAGUACAAACCAUUACCAUCUGUUGAGAAGGUGACAGUUUAUUAUAAGUCUUUUGGUUAGCUGCCCUGAGAGAGAAUACUUUUCUUCUUUUGAAAUAAAUGUUACAAUUUCAAAAUUCUGUCCUGAUAACUAGCCCAAGUUACAAUGAGUAUUAUACAAAUAAUGAUUAUAUUACAGAAUUAUUCAUGAAAGAAAGCACAAAGGAAAUGUGUCUGAAUAAUGGAAAUACAAGAAAUUCUGUUAUAUUGAUGUAUGUAUAAUAUGAUAUCUCAAGAAGAAAUACAGAAAAAUUUUAUUUAGUAUGUAAAUGGCUAUUGACAUGUGAAAGAUAGACACGUGGGUAAGAAGUGGAGAGCCCUGACUGAUGGUGGCGAACACCUUUAAUCCCAGAACUCAGGAGGCAGAGACAGGCAGAUCUGUGUGGGUUCAAGGCCAGUUUGAUCUACAGAGUUAGUUCUAGGGCAGCCAGGGCUACAGAGAGAAACCCUUUCUCAAAAAAACCAAAACCAACUGAACAAACAAACGAGAAUCAUUAUCAUUGGAGCAAAUUGGUAGGUUUCUGGAUUUAACUAUUCAUGUUUGAAGCUAAGUAGAUGAAAUAACUGGAGAAUGGCAUUUAUUUUUGCUCAGGAAAGUAUUAGUCCAUAACAGCUGGGCUACAUUUUGAACCUGUCUAUGGUAAUGAAGAGUGCCAUGGCAGGAAUGUUCUGUGGAACCAAGCCUGUCACAUAUGCCUGGGGAGAGAAAACGAAGAAGGGAUGAAAUUCCCAGUCUUCCCCCAGGAGCAUGACCUCAGGAAGCAGAAAACAGACACAAGGCUCUACUCCUGACUACCCCACCAUGCCUCAACAGCACUCCCGGCUGAAGACCCAGUCAGUCACACAGACUACCUCCUGACCAUGCCUCAACAGCACUCCAGGCUGAAGACCCAGGCCGUCACACAGACUACCUCCUGACUACCCCACCAUGCCUCAACAGCACUCCCUGCUGAAGACCCAGUCAGUCACACAGACUACCUCCUGACUACCCCACCAUGCCUCAACAGCACUCCCUGCUGAAGACCCAGUCAGUCACACAGAUUACCUCCUGACUACCCCACCAUGCCUCAACAGCAUUCCCUGCUGAAGACCCAGUCAGUCACACGGACUUCGGAGGGUCCACUCAAGACAACAUGUGCUUAAGAAGAUAACCAUUAUCCCUGAACAUGGAGUUGUUGAUAUGCCUUCUGUCAUUCAUUCCACUGGAGAAAACUGACUUUCUGUCUUGCAGCAGAUGUCUUUAUUUAAGAGAGAACUGAUGGACAUGAGUCCCUACAGGUGAGUAGUUCCUUUGGGUAAUACCACCCGAAUACGAGUUAGGAAAACCUAUGUAUAGUAAGAGGUCUUUGUCAGCUGUCUCAAGAUAAAGGGAAGAGAAAUGGGCACUAAGCAGAAACGAAAUGAAACAUGAAGAAAAACAGAGGCUCCUUUCUUUCACCAUUUUCUUUUCCAGUCAAGAAACCUAGUAAAGAGAAUUUUUUCCUGCUUAAUGAAAUAGAAGUCUUCUUCGUUCCUAAUUUGACAGAGGAAUUAAAAUUAAGUACAAUCUUUUUAAUUACAAUGUAACAAGGCUAAGGAAGGUUUAAGACCCA